rnacentral:rRNA from 1 species
UACAGGGGGGGCAAGCGUUGUCCGGAAUUAUUGGGCGUAAAGAGCUCGUAGGCGGUUUGUCGCGUCUGCUGUGAAAUCCCGAGGCUCAACCUCGGGUCUGCAGUGGGUACGGGCAGACUAGAGUGUGGUAGGGGAGAUUGGAAUUCCUGGUGUAGCGGUGGAAUGCGCAGAUAUCAGGAGGAACACCGAUGGCGAAGGCAGAUCUCUGGGCCAUUACUGACGCUGAGGAGCGAAAGCAUGGGGAGCGAACAGG